CAGAGGGUAGUUUAAUUAAAACACUAGUUUUGGGUAUUAGAAAAAAAUUUUAUUAUUUUCCUUUGA
rnacentral:tRNA from 1 species